CACGAUGAUUGUAAUUUACGAAAUCAGUACUUCUCAUAUUUAAAUCACAGUGUAAUAGAAUCAUGAAGAUAAAUACUCGUACUCUAACUCUACUAACUCAUUACAUGAAAUCAACCAUUCAAUUAAUUACAAUAAGCUUACUUUAUAAAUUCAAUACUAUUGUAGACAAUCAUUAUUACAGACUUAAUCUCGAAUGAAUCAUCAUACCAUUGAUCGAUUUUACAGAAGAGUUUAAACUGGAAGGAUAUUUAAUUAGAUUAAACUAUUACGCUAAUAGCCACCUUCAAUCCUGUUAAUAUCCAGAUCUAUUGGUUUAGUUCAUGGCUUGGUGCUGAUACCUUUUAAACUUCAAAACAACCUGAAAAUCUCCACUUCAAACUCUAUUUUCAUUGAGCAGUACUCACAUUUCAGUAUAUUAACACAUUAAUCUUUAAAAAAACCACAGACAUUUCGCCAAUGUGUUGUUAUGUAGAAUAUUCCUACAGUUGUAUUCUGUUAUUUCUCUUCUUUUUUGACCCUCUUAUUUCUGUUUAUUACUUCCUCACCCUCACAUAUGACCUGCUCUUAUUUUCUUUUACAAUUCAGUCCCUUUUUCUUUUUCUAGAAGCUUCUAAAUUAGUCACAAGAAAGAUUUCAUCAAAUUUUAAAUUCCCUUCGUACCCCAUAGACUUUUAGUAAGUACAAACAACAGUAACAAACGAACUCCAACCAAGUUAAAAAUCAAAACAGAGCAAAUAACAUUCAAAAAAUCAAGUAAUUCUAAUGAUUAAUCCUGAUUCAACCAUGCGACUAACAUGAUUCAAGAUCAAUUAGCCUACCAGUUAACUAUCAUGCAAUUAAAUUAACUAAAAAAAAUGAAUCUCCUAAUAUGCAAACACACAAACAGUCAAACUAAAAUAAUAUACAAAUGCAAAAAAGUUAAUUUGAAUCAGAGAAUAGGGGAGGAGGACUAGAUAAGAACUAAAAUCAACAAAUAAAAGGAAAAAGAGAGGAAGGCAUACCUAAUGAGUUUCAACAUAUUGACAAAAUAAUUCCGGCAAGCCGGAGAAAGCAGAAAAGGUCAAUUGGAGAGCAUCUUGCCGGUUAACGACCGGUUGACCAAAAUCCGAUUAUCUCGGAAUGAACUAAAACAAAUAUCAAUCGAUUACUCUCGUCAAGAACAAUCGAUCAACGUAGGUUUUGAGACAAAAUGAGUUGUCUUUGAGAAGAAAUCAAGAGAAGACAGAUUAGGGGUUUUGGGUCAAUCUUGGAUCUACUAAAUGAUGAGUUUGUGAUGGAAUUGGAGGGAGAUAAUGAUGGAUUUGGAUUAAAUGAAGCUUGAGGAUUGUAGGGUGAUAAUUUGGUGGUGUUUGAAGUCGGGCCGCCACCGUGGGCGAUUUACGGUGGCGGUGAGGUAGAGAGUGAAAGAGAAGAAGAAAUGGGAGGGGUCUCUAGAGUUGGGGGGAGGGGGGGUCAUUUCGGACAGUUAUAUGGGGAAUGGAGAUUAGUUUUCAGCAGUUUGAUCAUGACCAAGGAAUGACUGAUAUUUC
rnacentral:lncRNA from 1 species